rnacentral:rRNA from 1 species
GUCUAUGGCCAUACCACCCUGAAUGCACUCGAUCUUGUCUGAUCUUGGAAGCUAAGCAGGGUCGGGCCUGGUUAGUACUUGGAUGAAAGAAAAGGCAAUAUGGCAAUGGAAA